ACAUGAAUGAAGCAAUCUCUCCACAUGAGAGGAAAUGGUCGAAUAACGGACAAGACUAAAUAAUAUUCUGGCCCAAGUCCGGGCCCACCAAGAAGCACAGCCAUGCGUGGUGUGAGUGAAGAAGUAAUUGACAGCUAGGUUAGGGGAACGGAACGUGUCAGGAGGACCUUGCCGGAAAAGAGGCAACGGGAGAAGCUGGCUGAGACGAGACCAACGAAGGGAGGCAUAUCACUAUUCCCAUGAAAGUGAAUUCGUCGGCGGCUUUCUUCACGAGCAGAUCUAGAUCUGUUGAAGGAGAAGCUGGUGUGAACCUUAAUUGAAGAAGGAUCUUGGACUAUACAAGUCGAGAAAGAGUCAACAACGACUAUCCAAACCAUGUUGGGCAACACGAGAGAAGAAGAUGAGUAAGGUAUGUCCGGCGGAUCUGGUGGGUCCGGUGGGUCCAGUGAGUGAAGAGUGCUUUGCGAAGUGUUCAUCACCCUAUAGUGAGAGAGUACACUAACAAGAUCUGGCGGACAUACUCGCCGGUGCUGCAGGUGGCUGGCGGAAAAAGAGAGUGGAGCAAGGUAAGAUCUCACCGAAAACCAUGGUGGAAACAAAGUAGAAAGAUCUCGCCGGCGAAUGGAAACCGACGGAAUAUGAGACAAGGUCUUCGGACGAGUGGAUCCGAGAGAGUGGAAGAAGAACGCCGUUCAAAAGGAGGUAGAGUCAACAAAAUUGUCGCCGGAGAAGACACAUGUAUGAACUCUUGUUUUGAGAGUGUAAGCUCUUAAACAAUGUAGCAGCAGCACAUAUUCAUGUUUUAUGCAGACUUGUGUUGCGUUAACACACGGUACUUAUGCUUGAAUGAAUCUGUGAGAACAAGGAGUUCUUUUCUCGGGUGGAGCAAUGGUUUCCCACUCUCUAUUUUCUUAUUCUUAGUAAGUUUUGGCAUUAUCAGAUUAUAGAGAAUGUUCCAGGAAGAAGAGCCAAGGUUGUUGAAACAGGUUCUUGGUGGUUAAAGUGGAUCAGGUCAAGUGGCUACAAGACGAAAGAGGAUGUGUCACAUGUUCAGACAUACUUUCUCAAGCUCUAAGACAUGGUUAACAUUGAAGAACAUGUGAAUUGUUCCAAGGAAUUGUUCAAAGCAACAUUAAAGAAUGGUUUUAACUUAGAUUGGUGAAGCUAAGGUUAUAGAGACAUAGUACAUCCAAGGGUUAUGGUUUCAGGUAUUGUUGCUACAAGAAAAGCAACGCAUAUCCUAAAGAUAUCUCCUGGUGGAGCUACGUUUGUUGGAUGAUUGUUCAGCUGAAAGUAAAGAGUUAAAAGGUUGCAUAACUUUGUUUCAGAGUGCUAAGAAGAAAGCAAGUUAAGCACAUAAGGUUAUCAAUGGGUGUUCAGCUUAAGCAUGGUUACAAUCUAAUGGUAAAAGGUUUGUUACAGAUUUGGUUUGAAGCUGGGUGUUGGUAAGGAUUGUCAGAAACAUAUUGCAGGUUUUCUAGAGAAGAGUUGCAGGUUUCUGGAGUUUUUCCAGAGAAUACACAAAUUUAUGGUCUGAGAUGAAGCUAUUGAAUUAAUUUCAGUUGUUUUUUUUUCUAAAGAAGAAACUGAAGGAGACAAAAGCAAGUGAUACAUGAUUUGUCUCAAGGGUGCUUACUUCAAGAAUGUGAAGGUGUUGUGUAUCUAACUAGAUAAACAACUCAUCUCAAAGCUAGUGUCAGAAGCUGGAAAAGAGAAGUCCUAGAAAGGAUGAAAAUGCAGAGAAAUCUAGCUGCACUUCGAAGAAACCAACUAAUGAGUUCAAAGUUGUUUGUUUGCAUAAUGAGGAGAAUACAUAAGUGUCUACUCAUGGGAAGUAAUUUGCAGGUCAGUCAAGUGAAUGAUCUAAAAGAAGAAGAGGGCCUUCCCUAAAGACUGCAAAUUGAAUAAUGCAAUAGCCAAAUUCGUUUUGGUGGAGGAUACAUACAAGAAAAAGUGAUGCAGGUUGUUCUUUACAGCUUGAAAGAGACAUCAAGGGUUCUAGAGUUGAUGUGUAAGCUGUUAUAAGGACGUGUCUCAGGGAUAUCACAAG
rnacentral:lncRNA from 1 species